AAGGAAGCUUCUGCACAAUCUGGUGAAUUUCCUGCUCUAUUACUGGUGACAGUAGUUGCUGCUGUUGGUGCAGGGUGAGGCAGGGUCCAUCUCUGGCCAGAGUGAUGUCAAUGCCUGAUAGCUGUGUUGCUGCUGUACCCAGUAGCUCUUGGAAGAAUUGGCCAGAGUGAUGUUAAUGCAGUAGAUGUAUUCUUGGUAUUCAAUUUAGCAUAGUUGAUCUCCCCUUGAUCAGUAGUCUCAUCAGCUCUUUUUAUAGUUACUACCUGUUUGCCUCGGCUGUUCACUGAUAGUUCCACUUCAGGUUGAACUGUUUGCUCCUCAUGCUGUUGAAUGACUAUAAUCUCCUUCAUUACAGGCUUUGGUUGCCAUUGCAUUUUUGUUUUAUUCUUGAUCCUUUUUCUCUGAUUCUGUGGUCUUUUGGUUUGUUGCCCC
rnacentral:lncRNA from 1 species